rnacentral:rRNA from 1 species
UACAGAGGUCCCAAGCGUUGUUCGGAAUCACUGGGCGUAAAGCGCACGUAGGCGGCUCUUUAAGUCAGAGGUGAAAUCCUGGGGCUCAACCCCAGAACUGCCUUUGAUACUGAGGAGCUUGAGUCCGGGAGAGGUGAGUGGAACUGCGAGUGUAGAGGUGAAAUUCGUAGAUAUUCGCAAGAACACCAGUGGCGAAGGCGGCUCACUGGCUCAUUUCUGACGCUCAGGCGAGACAGCGUGGGGAUCAAACAGG